rnacentral:rRNA from 1 species
GCAUAUCAAUAAGCGGAGGAAAAGAAACCAACAGGGAUUGCCUCAGUAACGGCGAGUGAAGCGGCAACAGCUCAAAUUUGAAAUCUGGCUCUUUUAGGGUCCGAGUUGUAAUUUGUAGAAGAUGCUUUGGGUGUGGCUCCGGUCUAAGUUCCUUGGAACAGGACGUCAUAGAGGGUGAGAAUCCCGUACGUGACUGGUUGCCUUCGCCUGUGUAAAGCUCUUUCGACGAGUCGAGUUGUUUGGGAAUGCAGCUCAAAAUGGGUGGUAAAUUUCAUCUAAAGCUAAAUAUUGGCCAGAGACCGAUAGCGCACAAGUAGAGUGAUCGAAAGAUGAAAAGCACUUUGGAAAGAGAGUUAAACAGUACGUGAAAUUGUUGAAAGGGAAGCGCUUGCAACCAGACUUGCACGCUGCUGAUCAUCCGAGCUUCUGCCCGGUGCACUCGGUAGCGUUCAGGCCAGCAUCGGUUUUGGUGGGCGGAUAAAGGCCUUGGGAAUGUAGCUUCUUUCGGGGAGUGUUAUAGCCCUCGGUGCAAUGCGCCCUACCGGGACCGAGGACCGCGCUUCGGCUAGGAUGCUGGCGUAAUGGUUGUAAGCGACCCGUCUUGAAACACGGACC